AUUGAACGCUGGCGGCAUGCUUUACACAUGCAAGUCGAACGGUAACAGGCCUUCGGGUGCUGACGAGUGGCGAACGGGUGAGUAAUGCAUCGGAACGUGCCCAGAGGUGGGGGAUAACGCAGCGAAAGCUGUGCUAAUACCGCAUGUGAUCUGAGGAUGAAAGCGGGGGACCAGGCAGCAAUGUUUGGCCUCGCGCCUUUGGAGCACCCGAUGUCGGAUUAGGUAGUUGGUGGGGUAAAGGCCUACCAAGCCGACGAUCUGUAGCUGGUCUGAGAGGACGACCAGCCACACUGGGACUGAGACACGGCCCAGACUCCUACGGGAGGCAGCAGUGGGGAAUGUUGGACAAUGGGCGCAAGCCUGAUCCAGCAAUGCCGCGUGCGGGAAGAAGGCCUUCGGGUUGUAAACCGCUUUUGUACGGAAAGAAAAGGCUCUGGCUAAUACCUGGGGCUGAUGACGGUACCGUAAGAAUAAGCACCGGCUAACUACGUG
rnacentral:rRNA from 1 species